ACGAACGCUGGCGGCGCGCUUAACACAUGCAAGUCGAACGGAAAGGCCUGCUUUCCCUUGUGGAUUGCGGGUACUCGAGUGGCGAACGGGUGAGUAACACGUGAGUGAUCUGCCCCCAACUUGGGUAUAAGCCUGGGAAACUGGGUCUAAUUCCCGAUAGGACUGCAGGGUGGUGCCUGUGGUGGAAAACGAUUUUCUAGUGGUUGGGGAUGAGCUCGCGGCCUAUCAGCUUGUUGGUGGGGUAAUGGCCUACCAAGGCGGCGACGGGUAGCCGGCCUGAGAGGGUGGACCGCCACAGUGGGACUGAGAUACGGCCCAGACUCCUACGAGAGGCAGCAGUGGGGAAGAUUGCACGAUGGGCGGAAGCCUGAUGCAGCGACGCCGCGUGGGGGAUGACGGCCUUCGGGUUGUAAACUCCUUUCGGCCGCGAGGAAGCCACCUGGUUGGAAGGGUGGUGACGGUAGUGGUAGAAGAAGCACCGGCUAACUACGUG
rnacentral:rRNA from 1 species